UUCGCGACAUCCACCUGCUCUGUCUGUUCAUAGAGCUUACCCACCGCCUCGCGAAUAGUCGGAUGCCAGGUGACGGCGCGGGUGACGGCGUCCUGUACCGUUAGCGUUCCGGAUGGGAGUUUGGUGGCUGGCAGUGCGACGCGGCCAUUUAAGGCGGGAAGUUCCUGUUGUUCGCUUAAAAGCGCAGGAUUAAUAACGGCAGGCGAUAUCUCCGCGAAAAGCGGGGUGGAAAAAAGGCAGCACGACAGCCACCAGCAAGACACUUUAUCCAUGCUUUUAUCCCUAAAAAAUCAAUAU
rnacentral:sRNA from 1 species